AUCGCUUCUCGGCCUUCUGUGGCUAAGAUCAAUUGUGUAGUAUCUGUUCUUAUCAGCUUAAUAUCUGAUACGGGUUCCAAUGGAACCCGCGAUAUUAACGCUAUUUUUGUAAGUGGACGGUGUGAACGAAGCUAGCUUCGCCACUGUCGCGGGUUGACUUGGCAUAGCACUGCAGCCAAGUUCAGCCCACAAAAA